rfam:Homo sapiens chromosome 22, GRCh38 reference primary assembly.
GCCUGGUGUGGUGGUGCACACCUGUAGUCCCAGCUACUCAGGAGGCUGAGAUGGGAGGAUUGCUUGAGCCUGGGAGUUCAAGGCUGCAGUGAGCUCUGAUCAUUCCUCUGCACUCCAGCCUGGGCAACAGAGUGAAACCCUAUCUCAA